GUCCAUGGCAGUGGUCUGGCCUGGGGGCUGGAGCAGACGUCUACCCACGAAAGGUCACCAUUCGUUGCCAGCAACUAAGGCGGCAGAGGAAUAAAGCGCUUCAGUUCAGCUGGGGACUCUGGGUCAUCAUUCAGCAGAAGCCGGAAAACUGAGCGAUUUCUGCACCCUGGGGUAUCAUCUCACUCUCUAAGAAUGUCCUAAAGAAAUCCAAUGACAGAUGGAAGUCUUGAGAACCCUUUGAAGCAGCAACACCUGAGAAGUUCAAGCCUUUCCUCUCAAUGAACGUGGAACUCAAGCAGUAAAGGCACAACCUCUGAACCAUGGACAUCAUAUUCUGCUGGUGUCUCUUUCCUGACACACGUCUGACUCAUCGUAGGAGACCGCCGGCCAGAUUUAUCCCUACUGCUUGAGUGAAAUGUAACAGUCAGUUCUCAUUAUCGGAUUAGGAAGCAAUACAGAGAGGUACGUUCUAACAGAAUCAGUCACCCUCCUAUGGUAAGACGCAGUGUGCUCUUGCUGAAAGGCCCAUGGUUUGGAAAUGACUAUUUUAACCCAAAGCAUCAUUAGCUCUUCACUGCAAGCAGUUACUCAGAAUCCAAACCCCAACCCUUCUCUCCAUCUGUCUGUCUCUGCAUUCGUAGCUUGAGUGCAAUGAAAUGGUUAGCGCCCAUUUCACUGGAUUUUCCUCCAUGGCAAGAAUAUCACCUUUCACAUGUACGUCUAGAAGGCUUCCAAGGCCGUGAACCAACUUACCUACUGCUUCAUCAGGGUCCUCUUCCCUCACAUGGUAGCUACACAGGCUUCCACCAAUAGAGGCCAACCCAGCCCAGCCAAGAAGACUGUGGCUGCAAAUACAGUCACUCCAUUCAGAGGGACAGAGCAGUGUGAAUGGCAGAACCAUCUUCAUUUUGAGGACCAGUGCUGCUUUUGGGUUUUGGUUUCAACCCUGAGUUCUUCCAACCACACAGGAAGCUGCCUGUUUUGUGGACUUCUGUGUUGGUAUCAUUGGGAAAUCUAUGGCUACAAUAAUGUUUGGCACAUGGCGGGUGCUCAAUCAAUAACUGACGGAUGAGUAACUCUACUAGAAAACACCCACCACAAGGACCAGGUGGAAAUACAGAGGAAAGUCACAAAGCUUCUCCUACCAUGGGGGUUGCUCCUCUUGGCUCUGUCAGACCCAUUUGGUGAAAAGAAACUUGAGAAAUUUAAACUGGGGCCAAAUACGUCACGAGUUCAUUCCUUUGUACCAAUUAAAUGGGCUAAAGACCAUGUGAAAACAAGGUCAGUUGGGGCACCUGACUGACUCAAUGUGGAGAGCAUACGACUCUUGACUUUGGGGUUGUGAGUUCAAGCCCCACGCUGGACAUAGAGACUACUUUAAAAAAAUGAAAUCUUAAGAAAAUAAAAAUAAAAAUAAACAAACAAGCAAAACCACAAAAACCCCAGGUCAGUUUAUUAAGAAUAGGGCUAAUUGUCAGUCAAUAAUGAUAUUU